AAAUUGAAGAGUUUGAUCAUGGCUCAGAUUGAACGCUGGCGGCAGGCCUAACACAUGCAAGUCGAACGGUAGCACAGAGAGCUUGCUCUCGGGUGACGAGUGGCGGACGGGUGAGUAAUGUCUGGGAAACUGCCUGAUGGAGGGGGAUAACUACUGGAAACGGUGGCUAAUACCGCAUAACGUCGCAAGACCAAAGAGGGGGACCUUCGGGCCUCUUGCCAUCAGAUGUGCCCAGAUGGGAUUAGCUUGUUGGUGAGGUAACGGCUCACCAAGGCGACGAUCCCUAGCUGGUCUGAGAGGAUGACCAGCCACACUGGAACUGAGACACGGUCCAGACUCCUACGGGAGGCAGCAGUGGGGAAUAUUGCACAAUGGGCGCAAGCCUGAUGCAGCCAUGCCGCGUGUAUGAAGAAGGCCUUCGGGUUGUAAAGUACUUUCAGCGGGGAGGAAGGUGUUGUGGUUAAUAACCACAGCAAUUGACGUUACCCGCAGAAGAAGCACCGGCUAACUCCGUGCCAGCAGCCGCGGUAAUACGGAGGGUGCAAGCGUUAAUCGGAAUUACUGGGCGUAAAGCGCACGCAGGCGGUCUGUCAAGUCGGAUGUGAAAUCCCUGGGCUCAACCUGGGAACUGCAUUCGAAACUGGCAGGCUUGAGUCUUGUAGAGGGGGGUAGAAUUCCAGGUGUAGCGGUGAAAUGCGUAGAGAUCUGGAGGAAUACCGGUGGCGAAGGCGGCCCCCUGGACAAAGACUGACGCUCAGGUGCGAAAGCGUGGGGAGCAAACAGGAUUAGAUACCCUGGUAGUCCACGCCGUAAACGAUGUCUACUUGGAGGUUGUGCCCUUGAGGCGUGGCUUCCGGAGCUAACGCGUUAAGUAGACCGCCUGGGGAGUACGGCCGCAAGGUUAAAACUCAAAUGAAUUGACGGGGGCCCGCACAAGCGGUGGAGCAUGUGGUUUAAUUCGAUGCAACGCGAAGAACCUUACCUGGUCUUGACAUCCACAGAACUUUCCAGAGAUGGACUGGUGCCUUCGGGAACUGUGAGACAGGUGCUGCAUGGCUGUCGUCAGCUCGUGUUGUGAAAUGUUGGGUUAAGUCCCGCAACGAGCGCAACCCUUAUCCUUUGUUGCCAGCGGUCCGGCCGGGAACUCAAAGGAGACUGCCAGUGAUAAACUGGAGGAAGGUGGGGAUGACGUCAAGUCAUCAUGGCCCUUACGACCAGGGCUACACACGUGCUACAAUGGCGCAUACAAAGAGAAGCGACCUCGCGAGAGCAAGCGGACCUCAUAAAGUGCGUCGUAGUCCGGAUUGGAGUCUGCAACUCGACUCCAUGAAGUCGGAAUCGCUAGUAAUCGUGGAUCAGAAUGCCACGGUGAAUACGUUCCCGGGCCUUGUACACACCGCCCGUCACACCAUGGGAGUGGGUUGCAAAAGAAGUAGGUAGCUUAACCUUCGGGAGGGCGCUUACCACUUUGUGAUUCAUGACUGGGGUGAAGUCGUAACAAGGUAACCGUAGGGGAACCUGCGGUUGGAUCACCUCCUUACCUUAAAGAA
rnacentral:rRNA from 2 species